rnacentral:rRNA from 1 species
UGGGGAAUAUUGCACAAUGGGCGCAAGCCUGAUGCAGCAACGCCGCGUGAGGGACGACGGCCUUCGGGUUGUAAACCUCUUUUAGCAGGGAAGAAGCGAAAGUGACGGUACCUGCAGAAAAAGCACCGGCUAACUACGUGCCAGCAGCCGCGGUAAUACGUAGGGUGCGAGCGUUAAUCGGAAUUACUGGGCGUAAAGCGUGCGCAGGCGGUUUUGUAAGACAGAUGUGAAAUCCCCGGGCUUAACCUGGGAACUGCGUUUGUGACUGCAAGGCUGGAGUACGGCAGAGGGGGGUGGAAUUCCACGUGUAGCAGUGAAAUGCGUAGAGAUGUGGAGGUACACCGAUGGCGAAGGCAGCCCCCUGGGCCUGUACUGACGCUCAUGCACGAAAGCGUGGGGAGCAAACA